CCUACGGGAGGCAGCAGUGAGGAAUAUUGGUCAAUGGACGAGAGUCUGAACCAGCCAAGUAGCGUGAAGGAUGACUGCCCUAUGGGUUGUAAACUUCUUUUAUAUGGGAAUAAAAUGUUUCACGUGUGGGAUUUUGUAUGUACCAUAUGAAUAAGGAUCGGCUAAUUCCGUGCCAGCAGCCGCGGUAAUACGGAGGAUCCGAGCGUUAUCCGGAUUUAUUGGGUUUAAAGGGAGCGUAGGUGGAUUGUUAAGUCAGUUGUGAAAGGUUGCGGCUCAACCGUAAAAUUGCAGUGGAAACUGGCAGUCUUGAGUACAGUAGAGGUGGGCGGAAUUCGUGGUGUAGCGGUGAAAUGCUUAGAUAUCACGAAGAACUCCGAUUGCGAAGGCAGUUCACUGGACUGCAACUGACGCUGAGGCUCGAAAGUGUGGGUAUCGAACAGGAUUAGAUACCCUUGUAGUC
rnacentral:rRNA from 1 species